UCCAUGUGACUUGGAAUCUAAAGGAAGCUCUAGGCAAACCCUCGGUCUGAGGUACACGAAUCACAUUCGAGGUUUCUGUUCCAGGACGAGUUUGCUAAACAAAACGAAGUCCUAAAUAUCCCCAGAUGGUGCAGGAAUAAAUGUGCAGAUGGAUGAGGGGAAAGUGUAUGAAC
rfam:Bacillus circulans strain RIT379 contig55, whole genome shotgun sequence.